GGGGAAUAUUGGGCAAUGGGCGAAAGCCUGACCCAGCAACGCCGCGUGAGGGAAGAAGGUCUUCGGAUUGUAAACCUCUGUCCUUGGGGACGAACACAAUGACGGUACCCAAGGAGGAAGCUCCGGCUAACUACGUGCCAGCAGCCGCGGUAAUACGUAGGGAGCGAGCGUUGUCCGGAAUUACUGGGCGUAAAGGGUGCGUAGGCGGCAUGGCAAGUCAGAUGUGAAAUCCCCGGGCUUAACUCGGGUGCUGCAUUUGAAACUGCCGUGCUUGAGUGCAGGAGAGGAAAGCGGAAUUCCUAGUGUAGCGGUGAAAUGCGUAGAUAUUAGGAGGAACACCAGUGGCGAAGGCGGCUUUCUGGACUGUAACUGACGCUGAGGCACGAAAGCGUGGGGAGCAAAC
rnacentral:rRNA from 1 species